ncrna:unclassified sequences skipping-rope RNA
GAUAAAUGAGGUCGGAAAUGGUUCCCGACACACUCGCAUAGACGAGUACCUGAGAUGCUGGAUACACCGCCCAGCCAUUUGCC